GAUGAACGCUAGCGGCAGGCCUAAUACAUGCAAGUCGGACGGGAUUCAGGAGCUUGCUUCUGAUGAGAGUGGCGCACGGGUGCGUAACACGUAUGUAACCUACCUUUAUCAGGGGGAUAGCCUCUCGAAAGAGAGAUUAAGCCCGCAUAAAAUCACAGCACAGCAUUGUGUAAUGAUCAAAUAUUUAUAGGAUAAAGAUGGGCAUGCGGAACAUUAGCUAGAUGGCGGGGUAACGGCCCACCAUGGCGACGAUGUUUAGGGGAUCUGAGAGGAUGGCCCCCCACACUGGAACUGAGACACGGACCAGACUCCUACGGGAGGCAGCAGUAAGGAAUAUUGGUCAAUGGGCGGAAGCCUGAACCAGCCAUGCCGCGUGCAGGAAGACGGCCCUACGGGUUGUAAACUGCUUUUAUACGGGAAUAAACCCAGAUACGUGUAUCUGGCUGAAUGUACUGUAAGAAUAAGGAUCGGCUAACUCCGUG
rnacentral:rRNA from 1 species